rfam:Aedes aegypti strain Liverpool supercont1.382 genomic scaffold, whole genome shotgun sequence.
CCAUCGGCCCUUUUCAGGGCCAUCAAGGCUUUGUUAGCUUUGAUG